AUCCCUGUGACCAUCUUUGUGGUCCUCCUUUGGACUUGUUCCAACAGGUCCAUGCCCUCCUUAUGUUGGGGCCCCCAGAGUUAGAUGCAGCACUGCAGCAAUUUUGAGGAAUUUUAUGGCAGAGGUGACCAGGCCUGUCCAUCUCAGACCUUCAUAUGGAUCUCUCACCCCAUCUUUUUCAAUUCAUUGCAAAGGCAGGGAAAUAUGGGGCAAGAAAAACCCAAGAGGCCAGGACAUGAAUGCAGGAAGUCCUGAAACCUGAGAGUGAGAUAAUCUGGAAAAGGAAGACCUUUUCUAAGGCAUCAGCAGCAGUUCUGAGGAUCCCAUACAGAGAAGAGCAGAGAAGCCAGUGCUGCUACAAAGGGACAGCAAAGGCAGCCCCCAUUCUCAGGGAUGGACUUGAGAAGGACCACUACAAGUUUUCCUUUACCAUGGACCAGCAACAGCACAUAUACUCUCACUGCUUAAAAAAAGAAACAUC